ensembl:lncRNA
GCCAUCUCAACCACCUCUGCUAUUGGUCUUAACAACAACAAGGCGGGAAGGGUUUUGGGAUGUGAUCAUUAGAACAGUUUUAAUCAACCACCUCCAAGGUUAUUCUUCAGGGUUGCAUAAAGUAAUUUAUAUUUAAGUUAAAAAAUCCUUUAAAGCAAUUGCAUGUGCUGUAAAGAGCAGGCAUUUUGGAUCUGUAGUCUGGUGUCUGCUGUUACUGUAAACAGCUCUUUUGACGCCCUUGGGUAACGGAAAGUCUGCUAAAUUCAAGACUGAAGGACACCUAAAUGUCACUGACCCCUUUUGUAAGCUUUUGGUGGCCACACCAAAAGCUCAAUCCUGA